rnacentral:rRNA from 1 species
UACGUAGGGGGCAAGCGUUGUCCGGAAUCAUUGGGCGUAAAGCGCGCGUAGGCGGCCAGAUAAGUCCGGUGUGAAAGUCACAGGCUCAACCUGUGAAUGCCGCUGGAAACUGUCUGGCUUGAGUCCGGAAGGGGCGAGUGGAAUUCCUGGUGUAGCGGUGAAAUGCGCAGAUAUCAGGAGGAACACCAGUGGCGAAGGCGCCGCUCUGGGCCGUGACUGACGCUGAAGAGCGAAAGCGUGGGUAGCAAACAGG